ensembl:lncRNA
GGGGACGCCCCUCCCCCUUCGGCUUCCGGCUGAGAGAAGUGGCUCUGGGCUCUGCUGAUUUUGUUGCGCUCCGAGGAGGGACGUGACCUUCAGGGUGACCUGUGAGAUCGAACUCGGGUCCUUGCACUUGCAAGGCAGGCGGCAGAACCACUGAGCUAAAUCCCUGGCCCAGAGAAUGCCCUGUUGAUGGUCUUGGGUUUGAUGAUGUGUGAUGAUACUCAUGCUCGUUAUGAGGGAUACAAGGUGAAAAGCCCUGUAUGGAGUCAGGUCCAACUGAAGAGAACUGUCAACCGGAUUCUAAUCCCAACAUCAUCAUGACCACCUUGCUGGUGACCGUGGGUGGGUCUCACUACGUAGUUCAGGCUUGAUUUGAACUCACUACAUAGGCCAGGUUGGCCUCAAACUCACAGCGAUCCUCCUGCCUCUGCCUCCCAAGAGAUGGGAUUUCAGUUCCAUUUAGCGAUGAGGACAAAGAAAAGGACCCACAGACCUGGGUCAGAAGGAGGAGAAACUGGGAGGCCCGUAGCAGGAGAAGCCAGCAAGCCAACCCUGCCCCACUUUCUGGGAGUGAAGGCGGAGUGAGCAUGAUUAAACAGAAGUCUGAUGAAUGAAGACGAAGUCCUGCUCCCAGCGACUUCCUCUCUCCCUUGCCACCCUGCAGGAUACUGGGAGGAAAAAGUCAACCUGUGACCCAGUCACCUAGCAGUGUAGUCCAACAGGUCACAGGCCCUCGUCCCUCUGUGAGAGAGACCACAAAAGAUGGACAAAGAAACCGAACAGACAGAGACCGUUCAAGGAACAAAAGAAGUCUAAUAAUUUUUCGCAGAGACUUACUCAGGUGUCUGCUAAAAUGUCUCUUCAUCCAAGUCCUUUCCUGCCCCCCCCAAUCGUGUCUUUUAUUACUCAGCCUUAUUUCAGACACAGAGAACAGCGGGAUGGAGGGGAGAAAACUAUUAAGAUGAGUAAUACGAAAACUUUCCCAGAGCUGAAGGGCCUGGGCUUCUUGUUUGAAAGGACCAUUGAGUCCCAGGCACAAUGCAGGGGAGAAGACCCCCAUUCGGGUGCAGGCAUCACCAUGAAAUUCAGAACCCACGAUAAAGAGAAGACUUUAAAAGCUUCCCAAGAGAUAAAAUAGUAGGCUUUUACAAAGGAUCAGCAACCAGAAUUGCUCUGGACUGCUCAAUAAAAACAUCAGAAGCUACGAGAAAAUAGAGCAAGGCAUCAAAAUCCCAAAGGAAAAGGAUUCCAACCUGUCAUCCUAGGUUCAGCUCAAUUAUCAAUUAAGGAUUGAAGGGAAAUAAAGACAUUUUUAGAUGUGCAGUUUCUCAAAAGGCACGCUUCCUGCGCUCUUGGAAUAAACCAAGAAAGAAGGUGACAGGGGAUCCAGGGGAGUCCAUAACAUAAGAGAACCAACCAGUCUGGAUUGAAGGAGGGGGGAGAAAGAGGGAGAGAGAGAGAGAGAGAGAGGAAGUUCCAUGAGGAAGGUAGAAGGAACAGAUUAUCUAAAUUGCUUGAUAUGAGAGAAUUUUCUUAUUUAUUAAUUUUUUUGGUACUGGGGAUCGAACUUGGGACCUUGUGCUUUUGAGGCAGGUGCCAGAACCAUGGAACUAAAUCGCCAGCCCUGAGAAUUUUUAUUUUUUGCUAUGUAGUUCAGGUUAGCCUUGAACUCAUUAUGUAGCCCAGGCCGUCCUCCAAUUCAU